rnacentral:lncRNA from 1 species
CCGGAAGGGUCUUUCCUUCAUCACUGGCCUUCCAUCGUCCAUCCACGGGUGGAAGAACCAGUUUUUCUUCGUUUCAUUUUCUUCUCCCUGGGGCUUCCCUUCCCACUGGGGCGUGCCCCGAACCGAGGUGAACGAGAACAGCCGGGUGGAGGCGGACGACCGGGAGGACUUCCACCGACUCAAGGAUGUGUCGGUCUCAAAGCAG